UGCAUUAUGGCAGUUAAAAAAAAAAAAAAGAAAAUCAAUAUGAAAACAACUCCGAGCAACUCAGAACACCGUAAAAGCAUAAAAUACAGCAACGGUAAAAUAAAGAGCAUUGCAGGCUACAGCCUUACAAGCGUAUUAUUUUCUGGACAAAAGCCCAUAAAUUCUCACUUCUAUUUUCAUAUGUUUUAACGUUAAAGCUCUCCAUCCCAAAGCUCUUCGAUGGACUUGAACGGUCCAUCAUGGGAGACAUAUUCCUCUUUAAGCCUGAGUCUUUGCUGUGGGAUUUGACUGAUCUUGUCCUUAUCUUCCUUUGACAGUUCCCACUCAAAAAUCUCCAUAUUCUCUUUCAGUCUCUCCUUUUUAUAGCUCUUCACAACAAGAGUUAUCCCUUGCUCUAUUAUCCAUCUCAGAGCCACCUGUGCAAC
rnacentral:misc_RNA from 1 species